rnacentral:rRNA from 1 species
AGAGUUUGAUCCUGGCUCAGGACGAACGCUGGCGGCGUGCCUAAUACAUGCAAGUCGAACGCACUGACGGAGAACUUGUUCUCUUGACGUGAGUGGCGCACGGGUGAGUAACACGUGGGAAACCUACCCUUCAGCGGGGGAUAACCAUCGGAAACGAUGACUAAUACCGCAUAGACGACAGAACCGCCUGGUUCAAUCGGGAAAGACGGCUUCGGCUGUCACUGAAGGAUGGUCCCGCGCUGCAUUAGCUAGUUGGUAAGGUAACGGCUUACCAAGGCGAUGAUGCAUAGCCGACCUGAGAGGGUGAUCGGCCACAUUGGGACUGAGACACGGCCCAAACUCCUACGGGAGGCAGCAGUAGGGAAUCUUCCGCAAUGGACGCAAGUCUGACGGAGCAACGCCGCGUGUGUGAAGAAGGUUUUCGGAUCGUAAAGCACUGUUAUUAGAGAAGAACAGCCGAUAGAGUAACUGUUAUCGGUUUGACGGUAUCUAACCAGAAAGUGACGGCUAACUACGUGCCAGCAGCCGCGGUAAUACGUAGGUCACAAGCGUUGUCCGGAUUUAUUGGGCGUAAAGGGAGCGCAGGCGGUUUGUUAAGUCUGAUGUGAAAGCCCACGGCUCAACCGUGGAACGGCAUUGGAAACUGGCAAACUUGAGUAUAGAAGAGGAAAGUGGAAUUCCAUGUGUAGCGGUGAAAUGCGUAGAUAUAUGGAGGAACACCAGUGGCGAAGGCGACUUUCUGGUCUAUAACUGACGCUGAGCUCGAAAGCGUGGGGAGCGAACAGGAUUAGAUACCCUGGUAGUCCACGCCGUAAACGAUGAGUGUUAAGUGUUGGGGGGCUUCCACCCCUCAGUGCUGGCGUUAACGCAAUAAACACUCCGCCUGGGG